CUGCUUGCUUUGGCAGCACAUAAACUAAAAUUGGAAUGAUACAGAGAUUAGCAUGGCCCCUGUGCAAGGAUGACAUGCAAAUUUUUAAAGAGAGAAAAAGGAAA
rnacentral:snRNA from 1 species